rnacentral:rRNA from 1 species
UACGUAGGGGGCAAGCGUUGUCCGGAAUCAUUGGGCGUAAAGCGCGCGUAGGCGGCCCGUUAAGUCGGAUGUGAAAACCCGUGGCUCAACCACGGGCCUGCAUCCGAUACUGGCGGGCUCGAGGCAGGCAGGGGAGAUCGGAAUUCCUGGUGUAGCGGUGAAAUGCGCAGAUAUCGUCAAGAACACCAAUAGCGAAGGCAGCUUACUAAGCUCUAACUGAUACUGAUGCACGAAAGUGUGGGGAUCAAACAGG